GACGAACGCUGGCGGCGUGCUUAACACAUGCAAGUCGAACGGAAAGGCCCUGCUUUUGUGGGGUGCUCGAGUGGCGAACGGGUGAGUAACACGUGAGUAACCUGCCCUUGACUUUGGGAUAACUUCAGGAAACUGGGGCUAAUACCGGAUAGGAGCUCCUGCUGCAUGGUGGGGGUUGGAAAGUUUCGGCGGUUGGGGAUGGACUCGCGGCUUAUCAGCUUGUUGGUGGGGUAGUGGCUUACCAAGGCUUUGACGGGUAGCCGGCCUGAGAGGGUGACCGGCCAAAUUGGGACUGGGGUACGGCCCAGACCCCUACGGGGGGGAGGAGGGGGGAAUAUUGCAAAAGGGGGGGAAGCCUGAUGCAGCAACGCCGGGGGCGGGAUGACGGCCUUCGGGUUGUAAACCGCUUUCGCCUUGGACGAAGGGGAGGGGACAGGAAUGGGUAAAGAAGCACCGGCUAACUACGU
rnacentral:rRNA from 1 species